AUUUUGUAGGCAGGACAAAUUUGGGGUUAGAGGUUUCAUGGGUGGAUUGAUGUCCUUACUCUCCACUGGAACUCCCACUUUUGUAGUAUAUAAAGGGUCCCAGCUUGGAUGGUUCAUUCCCAUCAUGCCUUGCACCCUGUGCUGAGGUUUGUGGAAGGUGAAGUAUGAGGUAUGUAGAGGGUGAAGCAUCCCAGUAAUUGUUAUGAAAGUUUACACUUGUCCUGCCUGACCUGUGCUGUGUGACAACACUUAAUCUGCGGUGCCUCAAUCUUCUUAUCUGUAAAAUGGCACAAAUUCUACUACUACUACUACUACUACUACUACUACUACUACUACUACUACUACCACCGCCACUACUAUUACUAACUUUUAAGUAGGGGAGAAGUGAAAAAAGGGGGUAUUGUGUGGCAAAAGUUCUACCUUCUGUAAAGUUGGUUUCUCUUCCUUUUGUCCUUAUUUUCAGAGAACUCAGAAUUUAAAAAUAGUUGCACCAGGAAAAAGUCUCCACUUGAGCUGCGUCCUGUGCUGGCCUUAGCCAGGACUCCCAUGAACAUGGAAGACAGAAGUGAGUUCUUGGGUUAUGGGAAACAUUGUCAUGUUCUGGUUUCAAAAUGUGCAAAUUUAUGUAAAUUUGAAAUAUAAUAGCAAGAAAAACUCUCUAUUAAUUUAAGACAGUGUUUCUCGUGAGAUUAGAUGCUGAUAUCAGAAGGUUCUGGUGCCUGGCAGUAUCCUUAGAACUUGUCCAAGUGCAAGGGCAAAAGGCCAGCAUUGUGUUAGCCCUGCCUCACUGUACUCCUGUUAUUUCUGGUGGGAGCAUUAGGGCUUAACUUCAGCUGUGAAGGCAGGCACUGAUGUACCCACUUCUGAAAUGAGGAAGCUGAGGCCUUAGAGUUUAUGUUCCUUGAUAAGAGUUAAAGUUAUUGGGUAUCCGAGUCCUAGACUUCUGAAUGUGUCCUUCUGCUUCUCAAAAGCAACCAGAUACCAAUCCCUAAACUGUGUGGUGUUGAGGAACUGCACAGGGAACUGCUCACACAAUAUCCUUCCAUUGAUUUCUAGUGCUUGGAGCAAUUCUCUUCAUCCUUUUGUUUUCCCAGUUGAACAAAUAUCCAGCCACUUGUCUGUAUCGACAGUGACAACAUUACCUACAUGGCCUCCGCCGUGCCCUGUACCCUGGGUAACAGAUCCUCAGCUCCAAGUGACCACAGAUACCUGGAGGUUGAAAGAAAGAGGUUUUUACAAGCCUUCUUGAAUUCCUUUCCUUCAUUAGUCUACUGCCUGGGAAAAUUCCCAGCUUGUCCCUUCCCCCACCCCCAACCCAAAGCCACUUUGUUGCGCUGGCAUAAUUUCUUACAAUAACAUUAACAUAUCACUGGAGCUCAUUACCUUUGGUGUAAUAGUUCCCUAUUGAACUGUGUCAGACUAAUUAUGUCAGUUCCUUUUCAUUCCAGUUUAGUGCUUCUCCUGAGAGUCACCGUGCAGCACUGGUAAUAAUGAUUAAACUGCUGUCUAAUGCUCCACUGGAUGGCCAAACCAAACAGGGAAAUUCCUCUCUGAAGAUGGGACUCACACAGCCCUGCAUUUGAUGCAGUUUGCUGUUUUAAAAGCCAUUCCCUGGUGGCCAUUUCUACGUGACAUUGCAGGGCUGGCAUUGUUGGGGAAUGAGAGGGCAAAUUAGAGAAGGAAAUAACUUUGCAAGACCUGAUGUCACCAAGAGGCAACUCAAGUACUUUCUACUAGCCUGGGGAGCCUUGGAGGUCUGAUGGGGACCAUCUGGAACCAAGCUAUGUAGCUCAGCCAGUAGAGGUGUGGGUAUACAGAAGAGGCCAAGGUAAUGAAUCAGGACAAGCCAAUAUCAGAUGCUUAAAGCUCUGUUAGUAGUGUCAGUUGAAAGAGGCCAUGGAAGGAGGAUGACAAUGAAACCAUUUUCACAUUCCAAUGGUAGUCUGGGAGAGCAGGAGCCCAAGUGGAGCCAGGAGCCCAAGUGGAGCUUGUCUUUGUCUUUUUGCGUAAAGGGAAGGAAUGAACCUCACACUUUGGCAGGAGCUGUGGUUGAUGUCCUUUACCACCCACAGGGACGCUAAUCUGUUCUGAGAACCCAUCACCAAUGAUUACCAUUCUAAUAAUAGCAGCCAGCAUCAAAUUCUUUGUGAACAUGGUGAACACUACCUCCAGCUUCCUGAGUCAAGAUUCAACAGGACACCCUGUAGAGCUGGAAGAGUGGUGGGAUGCAUGCUAGUGAAAGCCCACGGUAUGGAUGACCUGCUGAAGGUGAUUUGAUGAAGACUUGGAAGAAAACCGUGGAGAACUGCAGAGGAUAUCUGAGGUCCCAUUCCAGAAGUGAUUGAUGACCACUGGACACUCACAGAUGGACGCCGAGAGCCGCGCCUGCUCCUUCGUGCGCCUCAGUGGCGGCAGUGACGCGAUUUUUCAUGUGUGUGUUGGCUUCUGAGUCCUCAUCGAGCUCCCGAGCGUAACCAAACCCAGACAGCAUCCGUGAGAUGAAAAAUAAAGUGCGAUGUUUAUGAUGC
rnacentral:sRNA from 1 species